GAGGGUUUAGUUUAACGGAUAGAAUAUUUGGAUUAGUAUCCGAAAGACUUAGGUUCGACUCUUAGAGCUUCUA